rnacentral:tRNA from 2 species
GGUUUAAUAUUUUAAGUUUAAAAAGUUUGAUUUGCGUUCAAGUAAUAGAUUAUAUUAUCUUUAGACCAC